rnacentral:rRNA from 1 species
GACAGAGGUGCCAAGCGUUAGGCGGAAUCACUGGGCUUAAAGCGCGUGUAGGCGGGUCGGCGCGUCGGUCGCUGAAAUCCCCCGGCUCAACCGGGGAAGCGGCGCCGAUACGGCCGGCCUGGAGGGACGUAGGGGGGGCUGGAACUUCCGGUGGAGCGGUGAAAUGCGUUGAGAUCGGAAGGAACGCCCGUGGCGAAAGCGAGCCCCUGGACGUCUACUGACGCUGAGACGCGAAAGCCAGGGGAGCGAACGGG